rnacentral:rRNA from 1 species
AGGGAGCCCCAUCACUUCUUGAAGUCACUGAUCUUAUCUGAUUUCAGAAGCUAAGCAGGACUGGGUCUGGUUAGUGCUUGGAUGGGAAAUGCUGGCUCAGCCUAGGAAAUAAGCCUACCUGAAAUCCAGCUGCCAUU